AUUGAACGCUGGCGGCAUGCUUUACACAUGCAAGUCGAACGGUAACAGGUCUUCGGAUGCUGACGAGUGGCGAACGGGUGAGUAAUGCAUCGGAACGUGCCCAGUCGUGGGGGAGUAACGCAGCGAAAGACUGCGCUAAUACCGCAUACGAUCUAUGGAUGAAAGACGGGGGACGUCGCAAGAGCCUCGCGCGAUUGGAGCGGCCGAUGUCAGAUUAGGUAGUUGGUGGGGUAAAGGACUCACCAAGCCAACGAUCUGUAGCUGGUCUGAGAGGACGACCAGCCACACUGGAACUGAGACACGGUCCAGACUCCUACGGGAGGCAGCAGUGGGGAAG
rnacentral:rRNA from 1 species